GAUGAAGAACGUAGCGAAAUGCGAUAAGUAAUGUGAAUUGCAGAAUUCAGUGAAUCAUCGAAUCUUUGAACGCACAUUGCGCCCCUUGGUAUUCCGGGGGGCAUGCCUGUCCGAGCGUCAUUGCUGCCCUCAAGCCCGGCUUGUGUGUUGGGUCUCGUCCCCCUUCCCGGGGGGACGGGCCCGAAAGGCAGCGGCGGCACCGCGUCCGGUCCUCGAGCGUAUGGGGCUUUGUCACCCGCUCUGUAGGCCCGGCCGGCGCUUGCCGAUCAACCAAAACUUUUUUCCAGGUUGACCUCGGAUCAGGUAGGGAUACCCGCUGAACUUAAGCAUAUCAAUAAGCGGAGGA
rnacentral:misc_RNA from 1 species